UACGAAGGGGGCUAGCGUUGCCCGGAAUGACUGGGCGUAAAGGGCGCGUAGGCGGCUUGUAUAGUCGGAUGUGAAAUUCCUGGGCUCAACCUGGGGGCUGCGUUUGAUACGUGCGGACUUGAGUGCGGAAGAGGGUCGUGGAAUUCCUAGUGUAGAGGUGAAAUUCGUAGAUAUUGGGAAGAACACCGGUGGCGAAGGCGGCGACCUGGUCCGAUACUGACGCUGAGGCGCGAAAGCGUGGGGAGCAAACAGG
rnacentral:rRNA from 1 species